rnacentral:rRNA from 1 species
AGAGUUUGAUCAUGGCUCAGGACGAACGCUGGCGGCGUGCCUAAUGCAUGCAAGUCGCACGGGGUCUUCGGACUCAGUGGCGCACGGCUGAGGAGCACGUGGCUAACCUACCCCGGCGUGGGGGAUAACGGGCCGAAAGGCUCGCUAAUCCCGCAUACGAUCACCCUCACGGGUGAGGAAAGCUUCGGCGCGCUGGGCGGGGGCCGCGUCCCAUUAGGUUGUUGGUGUGGUAAUGGCGCACCAAGCCGAUGAUGGGUUCCGGGUCUGAGAGGACGACCCGGCAGACUGGGACUGAGACACGGCCCAGACUCCUACGGGGGGCAGCAGCAAGGAAUUUUCGGCAAUGGGCGCAAGCCUGACCGAGCAACGCCGCGUGGAGGAUGACGGCUUUCGGGUUGUAAACUCCUUUUGGGUGGGACGAUAAUGACGGUACCAUCCGAAUCAGACCCGGCUAACUACGUGCCAGCAGCCGCGGUAAUUC